AGCUGUCCAUAAAUCAAAACGCGCAUAGCACGUUUUGUUAUAUUACCGUUGCAUGAGUUGAAAGACCGAAAUACCCACACGCCCCUCAUCUCUGAUCUCUGCUCUCCAUUUCGCAUUUGACGCCUCCAUCUUCUUCUCUCUGCGUCGUUCACUGUUCAGGUGAAGAUGAGCAGAAAAGGCUGUCUGGGAGGUAAAGGCUUAUGAUGGGGUGAUGAAGGAUGGAGAGAGAAUAUUUAUAAAACUUGCUAAGACAAGGGAAAUAAAAACAAGAGAAUUGAAGUGUGUCAAGUGCAUUAAGGAUGAAGAUCAGAGAGUGUUUGAUGCAUGAGGCAGUGAGAAGACAGAUUUAUUAUAUUUUAUUUGAUUUUAAGUAUCAAGGGCAAUUUUGUGUUGUACAAUUUAAACUUAGAUUAUUGAUAUGUAUUUUAUAUGUUUUUACAUUUUUAUGUAGUACAAUUUAAACUUAGAUUAUUGGUGUAUAUUUUAUCAUCUUUUUACAUUUUUA